rnacentral:rRNA from 1 species
AGUCGAGGGGUAACAUUGUAGCUUGCUACAGAUGACGACCGGCGCACGGGUGAGUAACGCGUAUGCAACCUGCCUUUGACAGGGGGAUAGCCCGGAGAAAUCCGGAUUAACAUCCCAUGGUAUUUACGAAUCGCAUGGUUUGUAAAUUAAAGAUUUUAUCGGUCAAAGAUGGGCAUGCGUGACAUUAGCUAGUUGGUAAGGUAACGGCUUACCAAGGCUGCGAUGUCUAGGGGUUCUGAGAGGAUGAUCCCCCACACUGGUACUGAGACACGGACCAGACUCCUACGGGAGGCAGCAGUGAGGAAUAUUGGUCAAUGGGCGCAAGCCUGAACCAGCCAUCCCGCGUGAAGGAAGACUGCCCUAUGGGUUGUAAACUUCUUUUCUGCACCAAGAAUGGUUACUACGUGUAGUGAUUUGACGGUAGUGCA